CUACGGGGCGCAGCAGUGGGGAAUAUUGCACAAUGGGCGCAAGCCUGAUGCAGCCAUGCCGCGUGUAUGAAGAAGGCCUUCGGGUUGUAAAGUACUUUCAGCGGGGAGGAAGGGAGUAAAGUUAAUACCUUUGCUCAUUGACGUUACCCGCAGAAGAAGCACCGGCUAACUCCGUGCCAGCAGCCGCGGUAAUACGGAGGGUGCAAGCGUUAAUCGGAAUUACUGGGCGUAAAGCGCACGCAGGCGGGUUUGUUAAGUCAGAUGUGAAAUCCCCGGGCUCGACCUGGGAACUGCAUCUGAUACUGGCAAGCUUGAGUCUCGUAGAGGGGGGUAGAAUUCCAGGUGUAGCGGUGAAAUGCGUAGAGAUCUGGAGGAAUACCGGUGGCGAAGGCGGCCCCCUGGACGAAGACUGACGCUCAGGUGCGAAAGCGUGGGGAGCAAACAGGAUUAGAUACCCUAGUAGUC
rnacentral:rRNA from 1 species